GUGUAUACACACACACACACACUAUAUAUAUAUAUAUAUAUAUAUAUAUAUAUAUAUAGUGUGUGUGUGUGUGUAUAUAU